UGAGCAACAUGACUUUCGGCGGGGGAUAGCCGGCCCAACGGCCGGGUAAUACCGCGUACGACCUUUUGGGGACAUCCCCGAUUGGUGAAAGCAGCAAUGCGCCGAAAGAGUGCCUCGCGGCCUAUCAGCUAGUUGGUGGGGUAAUGGCUCACCAAGGCGACGACGGGUAGCUGGUCUGAGAGGAUGGCCAGCCACAUUGGGACUGAGACACGGCCCAGACUCCUACGGGAGGNAG
rnacentral:rRNA from 1 species